AGCGAACGCUGGCGGCAGGCCUAACACAUGCAAGUCGAACGAACUCUUCGGAGUUAGUGGCGGACGGGUGAGUAACACGUGGGAACGUGCCUUUAGGUUCGGAAUAACUCAGGGAAACUUGUGCUAAUACCGAAUGUGCCCUUCGGGGGAAAGAUUUAUCGCCUUUAGAGCGGCCCGCGUCUGAUUAGCUAGUUGGUGAGGUAAAGGCUCACCAAGGCGACGAUCAGUAGCUGGUCUGAGAGGAUGAUCAGCCACAUUGGGACUGGGACACGGCCCAAACUCCUACGGGAGGCAGCAGUGGGGAAUCUUGCGCAAUGGGCGAAAGCCUGACGCAGCCAUGCCGCGUGAAUGAUGAAGGUCUUAGGAUUGUAAAAUUCUUUCACCGGGGACGAUAAUGACGGUACCCGGAGAAGAAGCCCCGGCUAACUUCGUG
rnacentral:rRNA from 1 species